rnacentral:rRNA from 1 species
GAUGAACGCUGGCGGCGUGCCUAAUACAUGCAAGUCGAACGAGGAGCUCUUGUAGCAAUACGAGGGUCUCCUAGUGGCGAACGGGUGAGUAACGCAUUGGUGACUUGCCCUGCAGAGGGGGAUAACAGUUCGAAAGAACUGCUAAUACCCCAUGCGGUCACGAGGGUUAGAGGCCUCGUGUCUAAAGGAGCAAUCCGCUUUGGGAGCGGCCUGCGUCCCAGCAGCAAGUUGGUAGGGUAAUGGCCUACCAAGGCGACGACGGGUAGGGGGCCUGACAGUGUGGCCCCCCACAAUGGAACGGAUACACGGGCCAUACACCUACGGGUGGCAGCAGUAGGGAAUAUUGCACAAUGGGCGAAAGCCUGAUGCAGCAACGCCGCGUGCACGAUGAAGGUCUUCGGAUCGUAAAGUGCUUUUCGGGGAGAUGAGAAAGGACAGUAUCCCCGGAAUAAGUCUCGGCUAACUGCGUGCCAGCAGCCGCAGUAAUAC